rnacentral:rRNA from 1 species
AGUGAACGCUGGCGGUAGGCCUAACACAUGCAAGUCGAACGGCAGCACAGUAAGAGCUUGCUCUUACGGGUGGCGAGUGGCGGACGGGUGAGGAAUACAUCGGAAUCUACUUUUUCGUGGGGGAUAACGUAGGGAAACUUACGCUAAUACCGCAUACGACCUACGGGUGAAAGCAGGGGAUCUUCGGACCUUGCGCGAUUGAAUGAGCCGAUGUCGGAUUAGCUAGUUGGCGGGGUAAAGGCCCACCAAGGCGACGAUCCGUAGCUGGUCUGAGAGGAUGAUCAGCCAAACUGGAACUGAGAAAAGGUCCAGACUCCUAAGGGAGGAAGCAGUGGGGAAUAUUGGACAAUGGGCGCAAGCCUGAUCCAGCCAUACCGCGUUGGGGAAGAAGGCCUUCGGGUUGGAAAGCCCUUUUGUUGGGAAAGAAAAGCAGCAGGUUAAUAACCCGCUGUUCUGACGGUACCCAAAGAAUAAGCACCGGCUAACUUCGUG